GAUGAACGCUGGCGGCGUGCCUAAUACAUGCAAGUCGAGCGAACAGACGAGGAGCUUGCUCCUCUGACGUUAGCGGCGGACGGGUGAGUAACACGUGGAUAACCUACCUAUAAGACUGGGAUAACUUCGGGAAACCGGAGCUAAUACCGGAUAAUAUAUUGAACCGCAUGGUUCAAAAGUGAAAGACGGUUUUGCUGUCACUUAUAGAUGGAUCCGCGCUGCAUUAGCUAGUUGGUAAGGUAACGGCUUACCAAGGCAACGAUGCGUAGCCGACCUGAGAGGGUGAUCGGCCACACUGGUACUGAGACACGGUCCAGACUCCUACGGGAGGCAGCAGUAGGGAAUCUUCCGCAAUGGGCGAAAGCCUGACGGAGCAACGCCGCGUGAGUGAUGAAGGUCUUCGGAUCGUAAAACUCUGUUAUUAGGGAAGAACAAAUGUGUAAGUAACUAUGCACGUCUUGACGGUACCUAAUCAGAAAGCCACGGCUAACUACGUG
rnacentral:rRNA from 1 species